AGUGAACGCUGGCGGUAGGCCUAAUACAUGCAAGUCGAACGGCAACACAGUAAGAUUUUGCCCUUACGGGUGGCGAGUGGCGGACGGGUGAGGCAUACAUCGGAUUCUACUUUUUCGUGGGUGAUAACGUAGGGACACUUAUGCUAACACCUCACAUGACCUACCGGUGAGAGCAGCGGUUCUUCGGCCCCUUCCCGUUUCAAUUAGCCGAUUUCGGAUGAGCUAGUUGGCGUGGUAAAGGCUCAGCAAGGCGACGAGCCGUCGCCGACCUGAGCGGAUGAUCGGACACACUGGAACUGAGACACGGUCCAGACUCCUACGGGAGGCCGCAGUAGGGAAUCUUCCGCAAUGGGCGAAAGCCUGACGGAGCACAGCCGCGGGAGUGAAGAAGGUCUACGGAUCGUAAAACUAUGUUAUUGGGGAAGAACAAAUGUGUAAGUAACUAUGCACGUCUUGACGGUACCUAAUCAGAAAGCCACGGCUAACUACGUG
rnacentral:rRNA from 1 species